UCAAGAGGCAAGACAUCGUCUGAAAAGUCAUUAUUCAGGAAAUGACUCAAGACGAACAGAGAGCUAGUCGCACUUUGCGCCAUAGAUCUAUUCUAACGGCGAUUCCGUGUUCAGCCUAAACAGAAGUCUUCCCUGGCCCGCAAACUAUUUUGAGUUUGCUGGGCUAGGGGCUUUGCGACUGUCGUGUGCUCGCUGCCUUUCUCUAGUCACUCGAUUGACCUCAGUGAAAUGGAGGAGAACCAAGGAAAUAUUGCUCCGAGUCGGACAUCCAGCCAUGGGAUAUCUCCCGACGAAGAACCACGGUCGUGUUCCUCUUCCCAGGCUCAUCAUUCUCCUGCCUCGGUGGAUUGCCAAGCUGAUGAUCCUGCAUCGUCGUGCUCAUCGACGCCGCGGACAAGCGCAACGCCGGUAUCGUUACCCGAUGGUGUGAAGAGGUUAGCUGAGAUGCUGAAGAUGCGCUACGUGGCCUGCAACCCGUAUGACACAGUUUGUUCGUUGGCCGAGUCGCUACUUGCGCGCCCAUAUCUGCCAUAGCUACCCAAGCCCCUUAUCUAGCUCUCUCUAUCUAUCUACCUCUCUCGCUCUUCCUUUCUCUCUCUCUCUCUCUCUCUCUCUCUCUCUCUCUCUCUCUCUCUCUCUCUCUCUCUCUCUAUCUCUUUCUCUCUUUCUCUCUCUCUCUUGCUCCCUGCCUCUCCAUCUACCCAUCACCCAUGUGGUUUUCCGUUUCUCCGUCACCCCUAUCCGUUUCCCAAGUACCGGUAGUACUUAUCUUCCCAAACCAACCUCGUCCGUCCCUUGUUGUCAGUGUGUAACUAUGGCAGUCCCAAAUCUUCAACAGUAGACACGGAGUGUAUUGAACA